UAAUACAGAGGGUGCAAGCGUUAAUCGGAUUUACUGGGCGUAAAGCGUGAGUAGGUGGCUCGCUAAGUCGGUUGUGAAAGCCCUGGGCUCAACCUGGGAAUUGCAGUCGAUACUGGCGAGCUAGAGUUCGGUAGAGGGUGGCGGAAUUCCCGGUGUAGCGGUGAAAUGCGUAGAUAUCGGGAGGAACAUCGAUGGCGAAGGCAACCACCUGGGCCUGAACUGACACUGAGACACGAAAGCGUGGGUAGCAAACAGGAUUAGAUACCCUGGUAGUCCACGCCGUAAACGAUGGGAACCUGACGUCGGUUUGCUCUGCGAAUCGGUGUCGUAGCUAACGCGCUAAGUUCCCCGCCUGGGGAGUACGGCCGCAAGGUU
rnacentral:rRNA from 1 species